rnacentral:rRNA from 1 species
AGCAGCCGCGGUAAUUCCAGCUCCAAUAGCGUAUAUUAAAGUUGUUGCAGUUAAAAAGCUCGUAGUUGAAUUUCGGGAUCAAAUUGUUGGUCGUGCUUCGGUACGCACUGGCAUUAUUGGUUCCUACCUUCUGAAGAACCGCGAUGUCAUUAAUUUGGUGUCGUGGGGAAUCAGGACUGUUACUUUGAAAAAUUAGAGUGUUUAAAGCAGGCGUACGCUUGAAUACAUUAGCAUGGAAUAAUGAAAUAGGACGUUUGAUUCUAUUUUGUUGGUUUCUAGGAUCGACGUAAUGGUUAAUAGGGAUAGUUGGGGGCAUUAGUAUUCAAUUGUCAGAGGUGAAAUUCUUGGAUUUAUUGAAGACUAACUACUGCGAAAGCAUUUGCCAAGGAUGUUUUCAUUAAUCAAGAACGAAAGUUAGGGGAUCGAAGACGAUCAGAUACCGUCGUAGUCUUAACCAUAAACUAUGCCGACUAGGGAUCGGAUGAUGUUAAUUUUUUAAUGUACUCAUUCGGCGCCUUAC